AUUAAAUAUGUAAAUAUUCCGUAGACAAUAGGUGCGAUAGCAUAACGGUGUAACCAACCUAUCAAGGAUUCCAAUAGAAAGUAUAGUUGGUCUCUCUCUGUGUCUAUGGAGAGACUUUUUAAUUUAUAUG
rfam:Clostridium autoethanogenum DSM 10061, complete genome.